UUUACGAAAAAAUAUAAGAAAGUUAAACCUGUUAGAUUAUAGGAAAUAUUAGUCUCUUUGCAUGCAUAAUGCAUUGUGCAUAUGAAGGAUAUCAGAAAUGGGCACAUUGUAGGAAUACAUGACUGUUAUUCCUGCCUGUAGGAACCAUGUAGCACAAUCCAGCGACAGGGCUCAAAAACUAUGCAAACAGUUAGAUCUUUAUGAACUUCUGCAUUAUAUCAUUGAACUGAAUUAAUGCUUCCAACGAAAAUGAUCUGUACUCAUAAAAUAACUUGGCACUCCUCAUCUUUGGAUCUCCAAAACCUGCAGAAGAUAGAUAAUUAUCACCAAAACUCAACAGCAAGAAGUGAUGUUAUCUGAUUGGUGCAGGCAGAGCAGCCAAUUAGAUACAAUGUAUGGAUGUACAAGUUAUACACCUGGUUACAUAUUCGUAAAGGAAGUCGCCUAGGUGAUACCUGGGCACCUAAUUUCCGUAUAUCCUGCCUACGUGCCAGAUUAGCAUGGUUAUUAUGCAUUAGGGACCGCCUUGCCAUCUACCUAGCACCCACUACUUUCAGAACAAAACUAGUUUGAAUGAUUGAUAUCAUAUGAGUUGGGGUGGAGUGUGCCUACAUAUUUAGCUAACUAGCUCCUUUUAUUAACCUGCAAAGUAGAGUUCAAGAAGCCAAACCCAGACUGCUAGAUUUCUGAUGACCCUAGUUUGGCCAUCUGUAGUUUAGUAGCUUUGCAUAUGACUCCACAGCUUUGAACAAUGUUUACUGGGAGCUGGGCUAUGACAAUGGCUGCUGACUAAACUGGUCUGACACAACUGUACCAAGAUCGAACGAUUUGGGUCUACCAACCUUAUCCAUUGUCUGGAUUACACCAGUGCAUGAUUAAUUUUCCAUCCAGUCUUUUCGAUCAUCUUUUAUAAAUUGCCUACAGAGCAGAGUACCAGCCAAUUAAAAUCAUUUAUGGAUAGCGCAACCAAUUGCACAAGCUACUCAUUAUUGGAUGGAGUCUUUGUCCAGACACCAUGAGCUCCAUGCACACAUAGAUUCUUGAGCUCAAACUAUCUCUUAGGCAUCAAUUCUUUCUUCAGUGUCUUUGGCAUGUAUUCAUCCUCAAGUUGCCUGCAAAUUUCCGGUGAGCUAUGCUUUUCGUUAAUAUGCAUUUCUCAUCAAUCCACCUAAAUCUUUUUUUUCUUAUUCGCCUUGCCGGCAUCCUAAUCUCAAUAUUCCUUGUGCGGCAAAGAAGCUUGCUGUGGCUUUCAUGGAACAUAUGCUGCCUGAGAAUGCAAAUAAACUAUCACGGCGGCGACUAUCUUACGCUUAGUGAUAGUUACUGUUCAGGGAUGCUCUUUGAGCAACUAGUCUGGUCUAGUGGUUAUGUGAUGCUCUUGCAGUUCACAGGCAGCGUGGAAGCACCUGAAGGAUUCAUUCCCGAUAUGGAAAUCUGUGGUUAAAGUAAAUCAAAUGGAGGUGAUGAGGCGAACAUCUUUGAUAUUCUUUCAUUGGGAGCAUCGCUGGAGCAUAAGGCAUUUCUAGUCCUGGUUCUUGUGUUGGCGUGACUCGUUCGGCUUCGUACCAAUGCUACGGGAACAUGGAGAAACAUCACGAGUGCCUUCCCGAACUGCUGCCAAUCAAGCAUGAUUAGCUGAACCAGACUUGCUAGCUGCCCUUUUGCAGCGAAAAAGGGACGGAAACCAUCCACCUCCAGAGCUGAUGAUCCAAAGGACACGGCGGCGAGAGUGCCUGUCGCGGUCGGCGGCGGCAUGCGGCACGGCGGGCGCAUCCCUGAUCGUUCUCGCUUUGACAAGCGGAUCAAAAGUUCAGAGCCCGCGCGCGGGGGGCGGGUUCGUGUACCGCGACCUUGCAACCGCGCGUCGCGCUCCGGCGGUUGGGCAGCGGCGCACGGCGGAAGUCAGCUGCUUCGCGUCCGUCCGCGCCGGCGCGGCCGAAUCUCCCGUCGCGAUAGGGGGAUCACGGCGCGGUCUCUGAGGCGGUCGCGCCGCGACGGACGAAGGUGGUGCCGUGCCGAAAGCCAGGGCGGGACGGCAUUAAGAUUUCACGUUCGCGCGUUCGGCGAGGUCAGGUUCGGACAGCGACACAAGUAGGUGAGCAUAUAGGCACAGAGGUGCAAACCAAACGCAUGGCUAGUUCACUUGCCCCUUCUUUUUUUUUUU